UACGAAGGGGGCUAGCGUUGCUCGGAAUCACUGGGCGUAAAGCGCACGUAGGCGGAUUGUUAAGUCAGGGGUGAAAUCCUGGAGCUCAACUCCAGAACUGCCUUUGAUACUGAGGGCCUUGAGACCGGAAGAGGUCGGCGGAACUGCGAGUGUAGAGGUGAAAUUCGUAGAUAUUCGCAAGAACACCAGUGGCGAAGGCGGCCGACUGGUCCGGUUCUGACGCUGAGGCGCGAAAGCGUGGGGAGCAAACAGG
rnacentral:rRNA from 1 species